ACUGGGUGCAGUGGCGUACACCUGUAAUCCCAGCGGCUCAGGAGGCUGAGGCAGGAGGAUCCCAAUUUCAAAGCCAGCCUCAA
rnacentral:sRNA from 1 species